CGGUCGAUAGCUCAGUUGAUCUAGCGGAGGAGUGUAGAGUUGCAGCAUUCCUCAGGUCGCUGGUUCGAAUCCAGCUCGACGGA
rfam:Angiostrongylus costaricensis strain Costa Rica genome assembly, scaffold: ACOC_contig0002509